rnacentral:rRNA from 1 species
AUUGAACGCUGGCGGCAGGCCAACACAUGCAAGUCGAGCGGAUGAGUGGAGCUUGCUCCAUGAUUCAGCGGCGGACGGGUGAGUAAUGCCUAGGAAUCUGCCUGGUAGUGGGGGACAACGUUUCGAAAGGAACGCUAAUACCGCAUACGUCCUACGGGAGAAAGCAGGGGACCUUCGGGCCUUGCGCUAUCAGAUGAGCCUAGGUCGGAUUAGCUAGUAGGUGAGGUAAUGGCUCACCUAGGCGACGAUCCGUAACUGGUCUGAGAGGAUGAUCAGUCACACUGGAACUGAGACACGGUCCAGACUCCUACGGGAGGCAGCAGUGGGGAAUAUUGGACAAUGGGCGAAAGCCUGAUCCAGCCAUGCCGCGUGUGUGAAGAAGGUCUUCGGAUUGUAAAGCACUUUAAGUUGGGAGGAAGAGCAGUAAGUUAAUACCUUGCUGUUUUGACGUUACCAACAGAAUAAGCACCGGCUAACUUCGUGCCAGCAGCCGCGGUAACAC